GACAUGAGACGAUGGUCGUGCGCGCUACUCGCUCUGGAAACAGCCAAACGCGGCGCUGCCUGGGUUUCCCCUCAGCCCUGCCGCUGUGACCGGGCGCACAGCUCUGCCACUGUGGGCGCCUCUCACCUAAUCAGGAGUCACAAACGACCAGAAUAAGGAGGGACGGUUCUGAACAGUUAGUGACGCACAUCUGGCUCCGGUCCACAGCUGGACCCGGCUCACGGCUCUGGUGGUUGCUGGCUCGGUGCUGCGGUGUCCGGGUUUAGUUCAGGACACAAACCGGAUCUUUGCUCCGAACAGCGCAGAGUUUCUUCAAACUUUCCUCCCUCCGUCACACCUGCCUGUGUUAGGUGUCCUGAGUCUUCUUCACUUUCCUAAUUCAAUAUAAGCAAUACUGAUUUUUUUUUUUUUUGCUCAUGUUCAGAAAAAGCCUUUAGUGGCGUCUUCAUUUGCAUUGUGGAAGGCUGAGGUUAUUUAAGAUGGGUUAUAUAAUGGCUGGAAACGAGCCAAAGACAAAUAAAGAGGCCACACAGUCCACACUUCUCUCUUCAGUCGUUUUCGUGUCAUUAUUUCUGCAGUAAUGUCGAAAGUAAAAAUUAAGUUCAAUUCUUCAAAUGUGGUAAAUGGGGCUUUAAAGGGCAGCACGUCGUGAAACAACUGAAACGAAACUUACCGUUUAACAUCAACAUGCACACAGACUGUUCCGCCUGCCCUCUCCUCACAGCGGGAGAGGAAAGUCUGCUGCCAUCUCUCAUGUUUGUUUAUUAGACCUAUUAUUGUGGAGGUGAAAAACUGAUGUAAAUCUAAUCUAAUCAAGUAAAAUGAAAAUAAAUGUUGUCUAAAAGUUGUUGUUGUUGCUCUUGGUCAGUUCUCGCCUGUUAUUAUUAGUGAUGAGGCUGUUUUUAAGACCAUAGUUGCUGUCAGUCACUAGAAACCUGACUUCCUGAUCUGGAAGAAGUUGGCAUAUUUGAUUUCCUUCUGAAUUCUGAUGGAUGCAGUUUGAAAAGGAAAUUAUGCGAUACAUCCACCCAGUCAGAUUAAAGCAGGUAGCACAAUAAAAAUGCAGGAAAUUUAAGGAUUAAUUUGUAAGUAAGUUAGUUUUAAGGGGGGGGGGGAGAUGGAUGUGAUGCUUCUAAUGCAAAUGGGUUUCUUAAAAUUAUAGAGCAGCGAAGGAGUUCAGACCACUGCAACAACAUAAAAAAAUAGAUCCUGGCCUCUGAUGUUUGUGAUAAAAUCGUUUAGUAACUGGUGGGACUUAUGAUUUGUAAAUCCUAAAAAGAAACAAAUAAAAAGCUAGUAAUGUAUGUUAACUGUAAUUAUACUCGAGACAUUUCUGUUAAAUAACAACAAAGAUGUUGAGUCUUAAAUCUACUUGUUGAAUAUUAGAAACAGGUGUAUUCUGACGCCUGAACCGGUCGCUUUGUAAAGUUGAACCAGUUCUGUGCAACACACCGUGUGUUUCCAAUAACUGCAAAUGAUCAGUUUUUGCUCCUUCAACAGAAGCAGCUGCACAAAGAUGACUGCAGAUGAUCUUGAAAUAAACCGCAGCUCCAAAGUCAUCUGACGCGUUGGUCUCUUUGGUUUUAAGGAACAUCGUGCCUCUGAAUGUUUUUGAAUCCCCACUGAAAUCACAUGGAGAAAUAUUUGGUGUAACAGACGUGACAUCAGGGGGAAACGUGUUAUCGGGGGCAUCUGUAAGCCACAGUUGGUUUGGCUGAGACCAAACACUGUUGUAGUGGUGUAGACUGCCACCAGCUGUUACUGCAAUGAACUGACAGAAGCCACGAGAAGUAACAAAACUCAAACAUACACACAUUUUUUAUUCAUUUUUGACAUUAAAAAUACAAAUCACACGCACAGGGAGCAGAUACCAACAAAUAAACUGUGACAUUCUUCAAACAGGAACCUACUGAGCACUGUACUUUCACACUAAGAGGGAGCAAACCAGAUUUUUUUUGACCUAUUACGUGCAAGCAAACAUCAAAUAAAUCUGUUUAUCCUGUACUACACCAACAGCCUGUGGUCUAACAUGUAGAGAAAUCACACACAGAGUCGUUUCCUUUAA